UUAAAUGUCCACCUCCGUGGGACGCGAACGCGAUGAUACCAGACGCGACAUAACCCUCCGACACUUCUCAAAGACGACAAUCUCGCGGAGGAAUCGACACCAAACAGGGCACAUUUAACUUUUAAAUUAAAUUCUGCUCAAGAUCCUGCAAGAACAAAGAGUACUGGAGUAAUUAUUGACCUCAUUUCAGUUUGAUCUUCAUAAUCACUGUGAGGGAAAAUUGUCCACAGUGAAGGUUAGAGAGAUUAGAUUGAUUAUCAAAUAAUAAAUCAACCUUUGAUGAUUGUAGCUGCGCUUAUGUGUUGACUUUUGGUGUGAUUGUCAUUUGCACGUUUGUUUGACCUAUAGAAGAAGUCUUUUUCUCUGUUAAUUCCCCUCCCCAUUCAUACAGGAAUGACUCAAAGUUGGAUCCUGUUUGGAUGGAGUUAAAUUUCCUGGAUGCAUGGAGCUCUGAGUAAUUUGUUUGUUUUUAAUUAAAAUCUAAUGUAGCACUCUUGGGCCUGGCAACUCUGCAGCUCUGCCCAGUGACUGGGGGAUAUUUAAUAAGCUGCAGUGCUGAAAGUUGUUUCAUUAGGUGUGAAAAGGGCUGAUAACUCAAUAGCCAACAGCCAAACAUCCUCUCUGUGUCGCUUUCCUGCCUCUUUAAUCUGUUUUUCAUUCUGCCUGGUGUGCUGUAGCAGUACAGGGAACUUCACAAAAAGGAAAAGACAUUCAUCACCAUCGGGCCUCCAACAAACCGGGGUGACAGAGCGAGCGAGCGAGCGAGCCAGUUUGGCUGAGAGAGAGGAGACGAUCAGACUGCAGAGCACGACAAUCGGCUGCUCUCCUGUCCCUGUGUCUUUGGACACCUAUAGGAAUGACAUGCACUCCGCUGUCCUCGAUUCACAGGCGGUGCGCUUCGAAAGAAGUGGAUUCUAAUUUCAGGAGCGUUCCCUCACUAUUAACCAUCGCUUCAGGACGGACAUCAAUCUCGACAAGUGUUUGGGGAACGGUUCGCUUGUCAUCGUUAUGUGUCCUUUAUUUUGAGUGUUUGCUCUCUCUUGUUUUCUCGCUCCUCUGCAGCAGAAACCAUCCAUUUCGUAACGAGUGCAAUAACAGAUGGAAGCGGUGUCGUCACGACGACAGUCACCGACAUCAUCAUUCUUCUGCUUCAGCUUCUCUGUCACCGGUGUUUACAUGCGGACUGAUCUUCAUCCUGAUGUAUUUGGAGUUUCACUGGAUGUUGAUGACGAUGACGUUAGUUAGGCAGCAGUUCCAGGUUUCCCCCUGUCGCCUCUCCAUCAGAGCACCACUGUCACCUCACACAUGGACCACGGAGUGAUAAUGGACAAUAAUGUCGAGUAUCUGAGACGGAGAAGUUCAGUCUGAAAGGACUGAGAGGAGAGAGAAAGCGUGUGAUGAGUGAGCGCUCCUGUCUACAUGUGCACGUGUGUUAUCCUAUCAUGAACCACUGGGUAAACAUGCGUCUGAUUGAUUAUUAUCUUAUAAACACAAAGUCACUAAUUACAGCUGAGGCAAAAAGACUUAGUUAUGAGGGUUUUUUUUCAGACAUCCUUAUACUUAAAGGUCCAGUUUGUAAAACUUGCAUCAAAUUGUUUUAACUUGGCCAAAAUGGAAGAUAAUUACUACACUUUUUUCAUACAAUUUCUUUACUGUAUGCAUUAUAGGUUGUUUUCAUACCUAGACUCGGUAUGAUUGGGCUGGUGUGAACGCACCCUUAGUUAUCAGGACCAGGGUCAGCUCCGUGUUUUUAUCAUAGCCCCAAACAUCUUUUGAGUUUUGAUGCUAAUUAACUAUAUGCACUAUAUGUCACUUCCUGGUUUUAAGGUAAGGUCAUUUCAGGUCCACGUUUGCCCUUAGCACAACUGACUGGAAGUUAAGGAGCUGGAUUAUAUUUAAGUGUAAAUUGUAAGUGAUGCUCUGUCUGUGCAUAAUAGUCCAUUGAAGGCUUCAUAGGUUCUGCACUAAAUGCUGCUAAAUUUGACACACUGUACCUUUAAAUCUGCAACGGUUGGUUUUAGUUGUUG